rnacentral:rRNA from 1 species
AUUGAACGCUGGCGGAAUGCUUUACACAUGCAAGUCGAACGGCAGCACGGGGGCAACCCUGGUGGCGAGUGGCGAACGGGUGAGUACUACAUCGGAACGUGCACAGUCGUGGGGGAUAACGUAGCGAAAGUGACGCUAAUACCGCAUACGAUCUACGGGUGAAAGCGGGGGACCGUACGGCCCCGCGCGAUUGGAGCGGCCGAGGUCAGAUUAGGUAGUUGGUGAGGUAAAGGCUGACCAAGCCCACGAUCUGUAGCUGGUCUGAGAGGACGACCAGCCACACUGGGACUGAGACACGGCCCAGACUCCUACGGGAGGCAGCAGUGGGGAAUUUUGGACAAUGGGCGCAAGCCUGAUCCAGCCAUUCCGCGUGCAGGACGAAGGCCUUCGGGUUGUAAACUGCUUUUGUACGGAACGAAAAGGCUCUGGUUAAUACCUGGGGCUCAUGACGGUACCGUAAGAAUAAGCACCGGCUAACUACGUGCCAGCAGCCGCAGUAA